CUCAUUCGUCGCGGGAGCAUCGCGCCUCGCCGCGGAGCGGCACGCCAGUCAGUCGGUUUUUAUCCAUCGCGCGAAGUGGUGUGUGGCGGUUUGGCGCGAGAGAGCGACAGAGCGGGUUUACGCGAUCGGACACACACAGUGACGAACCCACCGUCGUGUCUCGCAAAGGCGUGCAUUUCGGUAAUUUGCAGUUGCGACGACGUUCAUAGUGUCGCCGUACGCUCAGUAAAACCGCGUCGCGUCUGCGUCUUGACCGGAAGGAAGGAAGGUAAGCAGACGCGUCUUCGUUCUCUCAGAGGGGGGAAGAAGGAGCGCGCCUCGUGGACCCCCGUGCGUUGGAUCGUGGCCGCGAGACCGGAGGCGCACGGCGCGCAGUCGGCCAUUGUGCUUUCUUCGUGUCGCCGAUACAACUGCGCGGUGCUCUGCUGUCAGUCGGUGUGCUCUGUGUCGGCCUGCACCGGGUGAAGUCUGCAGGAGCAGAAGAUAGUACGCGCACGCUGUAAGCCGAUCACCGGCUACUACUACCGGGAGUCGUUGCCAUUCUUUGACACAAUCUUCUCCCGUCAUCGUCAUCAUCUCCCUCGCCGCCGUUUUCUCCCACGGUCAGCAGCACCGGGAAUGCGCAUGCACGGGUGCGAAUCCUCGAGACGGUGCGCGCGAGUAACGCGCCGGUGAACGCGCGAAGAAAUGAGAUGCGCGAAAGCCAUUAGGAAUCCGCUCUCGGCGAAUGUCAUUCACCCUGCGGGCGCAACAUAAGAAGAAGAAGAGAAGAAGAAGAAGGAGAAGAAGAAGCAACAGCACCACCACGCGAAAGAGGAGGCGAGCAAAGUGAGUGAAUUCGCGCUCGCGAGACCGGCAUUCUCGGGGUAAUUCGUCGUCCCUCGAAUCUUCGGCCACUGUUUCGGCUAUCCGUUAGGGCGCCGUCUCGUCAGUUUCCCCAGCGCCGGCGUCAGUAGAGUGAAAGGCGCUUCGCCACGCGUGGCACCUCUUGAAAGAGCACAUCCAGGGGAAAAGUCACGCGAUAUUUUCGCGGGGUCGUGCUGAAGCAUGCGUGCGCCACACUCGGGGUCUUCCGUCGUUCAUUAACGUCUCGAUAUAGCACGCAGCUGUAUAUGUAUAUAUAUAUAUUCCUGUAUAAAAGAUAGUCUUUCGUGACGUCUCGUUAACGCACGUGAAUUUCAACGCGGAUUCAAAUUGCACCGAGACGCUCUCACUCUCGUUCGCAGUGUAAUUCCGACCGCGCUGCGGAGAUAGAGAGGACAAAUUCUAUCCGAAGGACUGCAUAGUGAAAGAGCGCAUUUGUCGAUGCUCGCGAGGAGACGCCUUCGUCGUUCGUCGGGGGAGGAAUUGAUGGAAUGCUCGAUUGAGGAAGAGUCGGCGUGUGUCCGUGGUGAUCGACGACUGCGGACGAGCGUUAAUCGCGAAUCGACAGCGAGGAUGAUCGCGCGGAAUUCGCCGACGACCAGUGUCGAUUAUGCGAUCAAUGUGGACGAAUCUAGAAAGAGCCGCUGCGCGAUCUAAUUCCGACGGAGAUACGCUGGGAUUGCUGCUGUUUUACGAACGGCGACGAAGAGCCUUCCUUCUUUAAUACACACACACAUACACACACACACACACACACCAACCGACCGACCGACCGACCGACCGAAUUGACGUCGUCUAUUAAGAUAGAAGAGAUUCUAGACUGAUAAAGAAAUAUCCAUCGACUGAUAAAGUAAACCAGCGGAAUCCAGCGCGACGCAGAUUUAUUGUCGCCAUUGAGAUUCCGGCGCCGUUCGCUUCGCGACCGAUAUAGCUUUCUCGAUCGGAGUUCAGCAACGUCGCCUUCUACCUAAACUACCGUUAAUUAGCCUAAUUGCGUGCCGGGGACUCGAAAUUAUUCAGCGGCAUCCGUGCUCACGCGAGUUUACGCUAAGUGUAAGCGCGCUGUUUCCUUCGAGAAACCAAGGCGACCGCAAGGACGCGCGGUUCCUGUUCGAAGCGUUCUCCCGGGAAUCGAAUCGACUUCAAAUGAGCAGACACCGUCGAUCGAUCGAACGGUAAGUCGGUCUGACGAAGCGAAGGGACCGAGCGAAACUCAGCGUCGAGGCUCGGAUUCGCGGAUCGCCGUCGUCCGGAUCGGAAGAUAUACCGAAGGAUAAGCGGAUCCUGUCAUUGGUCCUCGGCGAAAGGGGACCGAUCGUGGACUCCUGGUGGUGUCCUGUGGCCGCAGAUGGGAGCUGGUCUGCUAGAACCCGGCAGGGUGAUCAACCCCGUGCAGCAGCGACCACAAUCGGACGAACUCUUCGCGAUCGAGUUCGAAUUCGCGACCACCGACCCGUCCUACGCCGACGUCGCUUGCCGACGUCACCGUCGAUCACGAGACUCCUUCUUCCAUCAGAUUCGGCCGCGCAAAUCCGAUCAAGCUGGAAUUGAUGGAGUUGGAGAACAUCGUGGCGAACACCGUGUACCUGAAAGCCAGAGAAGGUGGUGGUGAUAGCAAUAAGGGGAAGAGUAAGAAAUGGCGGAAGAUACUUCAGUUCCCACACAUUUCCCAGUGCAUCGGCCUAAAAGAUAAGCUAGACAUCAGAUACGGCUAUGUCGUGGAUCAACAGCCGAUCGGACGGCUGCUCUUCCGACAGUUCUGCCAGGAUAAGAAGCCGGCCUAUCACCGUUACAACCUCUUCCUGGACGCGAUCGAGAAAUACGAGAUUGAGCUGGACGAGAACCGCCUCGAGCUGGCGAAGGACCUGUUCGAACAGUACCUGAAGCGUGAGGGCUCGGAGGUGGUCGACAUCCUGAACGAUUCUUUGAUCUCGCAGUGCGAAGAGCGACUCAGUUCUGGCGGCAAGGAGCUCUUCGUCGAGGUCGCGCAGACUGUGAAGAACUUCCUAGCCGGCGAGCCGUUCUCGGCCUUCCUCAGUAGCUUCUACUUCUAUAGGUAUCUCCAGUGGAAAUGGCUGGAGGCGCAGCCGGUGACAUACAAGACCUUCCGGAUGUACCGGGUAUUGGGCAAAGGCGGCUUCGGCGAGGUCUGCGCCUGCCAGGUGCGCGCCACCGGUAAGAUGUACGCGUGCAAGAAGUUGGAGAAGAAGCGAAUAAAGAAGCGAAAAGGAGAGUCGAUGGUGCUGAUCGAGAAGAACAUUCUGCAAAAGAUCAAUUCCAAGUUCGUCGUCUCGCUCGCGUACGCGUACGAGACGAAGGACGCGCUCUGUCUCGUGCUGACCAUCAUGAACGGCGGUGAUCUCAAGUUCCAUAUUUACAACAUGGGCGGUGAACCGGGUUUCGACAUAAAUCGCGCCCGAUUCUACGCGGCCGAGGUUGUGUGCGGCCUGGAGCAUCUUCAUCUCCAGGGUAUCGUCUACAGGGACUGCAAGCCGGAGAACAUACUGUUGGACGAUCACGGUCACGUGAGGAUAUCCGAUCUCGGUCUCGCGGUGGAGAUCACGGAGGGCGACAUGGUGCGCGGUAGGGUGGGCACGGUGGGUUACAUGGCACCGGAAGUGAUCGACAAUGAGAGGUACACCUUCUCGCCUGACUGGUUCAGCUUCGGCUGUCUGCUGUACGAGAUGAUCGAGGGCCAGGCGCCGUUCCGCGCCCGCAAAGAGAAGGUCAAGCGCGAGGAGGUCGACAGGCGCGUCAAAGAGGAUCAGGAGAGGUACUCGUCCAAGUUCAGCGAGGAUGCCAAGAACCUGUGCCAGCAACUGCUGAAGAAGAGCCCGAAGAACAGGCUCGGCUGCAAGUGCGCCCGGCACGGGGCGCGGGAGGUGAAGCUGCACAGCUUCUUCCAGUGCUUGAACUGGAAGAGGGUCGAGGCCGGUAUGUGGGAACCACCGUUUGUGCCGGAUCCUCGCGCAGUUUACGCUAAAGAUGUUUUGGACAUUGAGCAGUUCUCCACGGUAAAAGGCGUCAAUUUAGACGCCACGGACGACACCUUCUAUAGCAAGUUUAAUACCGGCAGUGUGUCCAUUCCAUGGCAAAAUGAGAUGAUAGAGACUGAGUGUUUCAAGGAGCUGAACGUAUUAGGUCCUAACAACACGCCCACUCCAGACUUACUGAUAAACCAUCCGCCGCCCAACAACGAGGACAGAGGCUGUUUUCCCUUUCGGAGAAAGAGAAAACAGAGCGCCCGCACGAGGGAGGUGCCUCUGUCGGAGUGCCAUUUGCUGGAGCUGUCGCAGACACAGAGCUCGGAGAUGCCGGCCAGCUGAUCCAGGGUGAACGCGAGUAACAGCCUGAAUGGAUCGACGUCGUCGCCGUUUCGACGCUGCUGCCGCGGCUGACGACGGCGCGUGUCCAUGUGCUGCUGCCCGUGGUUGCUGUGAUAAGAGCCGGCCGAUCUCCCUAUCUGUCUCUCCCUCGGCGGCGCCUGAGUCCUCGGCAACCGUUUACGUAACGGUCCGCUCAAAUAAAAAUAAUAAAAAAAAAUAUCACUGCGGCUGCGGACCCGAAGUGAGUCUCCGAUGCGUUCCCUCGACUCGGAAUCCGAAUUCGGCUCCGAGAUUCGCGUGGCAAACGCGCGUUUGCGUGAUGUUACAUGCAUACACACGCCUACGCACGCACAUAGAUGGGAACAUACAUCUACAUGCAUGCCAGUAUUGUAUACAGUCAGGAGCGGCGUAGGAACAUAUACGUUACCAAAUAUAUCUUUCCCGAGUUCGAACACGGAAACAUCCGACAUGUACCUCUGUACAUAUAUCGAUGUGUGUUUCAUUGAGCCUCGACGUCACUCGUGCAUUGCAAACACGGUUCAGACGCGUCGCAGACGAGAACUCAAGGCGGUAUAGAUAGAUGGAUGGAUAUAUUACGCUCGAUGCGACUACGCGACACGAGAUUGAAUUGUCCUUGGCGAAUGCGAGAAUUAAUAACAGUAAAGCUUCUACACGGAUCCUAGUCUUUGAAAAUCGUAUCGAGUCACUUACGACGACAGGCGGAAUGAAUAUUACGGCGCCUGAAUAACGUAAAUCGCUGAAGCGAGUAAAAGAGUAGAAUAUUGCAGGGCUUCCUGCCCGGAGAUGCCCGACAAAUCCGUACCAGACGGCAACUUGUAGAGAAAUUAAAUUGUUUAUACGGAUGACGAAAUAUUAUUCAAAGAUUCGUAAGAUAUUGAAUGAGAGGGAAAAAGAAUGAGAUUGAUGUACAUAAUGAUAGAGAAACAUCACGGAUCUGUUUACACAGAAGCUGAGCCACAGGAUUAAGAACUCCUGUUGCGUAGGAUGUUCUUCGGUGACGUCAGUGAAUCAAUACCGAAAGGUAGAGGCGAGGUCCACUUACGUCAUCGUGAUGAUAUCUAUCUUUUUCUUUUCGAGGAAUGCAAUCAAGAGGAAUCAAGCUAUAUCGCGUCAGCAGAAUUUAUUUUUCAAAAAACUGUUUUUCAAGUCAGGUAAAAAUUUAUACAGCCACUCUUUUGAAACAAAUACACUAAAUAAGAAGAAUAUUUUAUUUAAGUGCAUUUGUUGCAUACAAUUACAUACAAUUUAAGUUUAACGAAGAGAGAAAGAGAAACACAAAUAGAUUUAAAUUAAAAUUAUUGCAAUAUUAGUUUUUAGAAAUUUU
rnacentral:misc_RNA from 1 species